GACGAACGCUGGCGGCGUGCUUAACACAUGCAAGUCGAACGGAAAGGCCCUGCUUUUGGGGGGUGCUCGAGUGGGGAACGGGGGAGUAAAACGUGAGUAACCUGCCCUUGACUUUGGGAUAACUUCAGGAAACUGGGGCUAAUACCGGAUAGGAGCUCCUGCUGCAGGGUGGGGGUUGGAAGGUUUCGGCGGUUGGGGAUGGACUCGCGGCUUAUCAGCUUGUUGGUGGGGUAGUGGCUUACCAAGGCUUUGACGGGUAGCCGGCCUGAGAGGGUGACCGGCCACAUUGGGACUGAGAUACGGCCCAGACUCCUACGGGAGGCAGCAGUGGGGAAUAUUGCACAAUGGGCGGAAGCCUGAUGCAGCAACGCCGCGUGCGGGAUGACGGCCUUCGGGUUGUAAACCGCUUUCGCCUGUGACGAAGCGUGAGUGACGGUAAUGGGUAAAGAAGCACCGGCUAACUACGUG
rnacentral:rRNA from 1 species